rnacentral:rRNA from 1 species
GAUGAACGCUGGCGGCGUGCCUAAUACAUGCAAGUCGAGCGCACAGAUAGGGAGCUUGUCCCUUUGACGUUAGCCGCGGACGGGUGAGUAACACGUGGAUCACCUACCUAAAAGACUGUGAUAAAUUCGGGACACUGGAGCUAAUACCGGAUAACAUAUUAAACCGCAUGGUUCAAUAGUGAAAUGCGGCUUUGCUGUCAAUUAAUGAUGCAUCCGUGCCGUAUUAGCUAGUUGGUAAGGUAACGACUUACCAAGGCAACGAAACGUAGCCGACCGGGGAGGUUGAUCGGCCACACUGGAACUGAGACACGGUCCAGACUCCUACGGGAGGCAGCAGAAGGGAAUCUUCCGCAAUGGGCGAAAGCCUGACGGGGCAACGCCGCGUGAGUAAUGAAGUUCUUCGGUUCGUAAAACUCUGUUAUCAGGGAAGAACAAAUGUGUAAGUAACUGUGCACAUCUUGACGGUACCUGAUCAGAAAGCCACGGCUAACUACGUGCCAGCCGCCGCCGUAA